AACCUCAUUGGCCGGAAGGGAUUCCUUCCAGUUGAUGAGGUAUAACAACCUCAUUAGCCAGAAGGGAUUCCUUCCAGUCAAUGAGGUU
rnacentral:miRNA from 1 species